UGAUCCAUAGUGAAACACUUUCGCCUACACAAAAACACACCACAUCAUGGGACACAAAAACGUCAAAAUAACAGAAAAAAACAAAACCAAGGUUGGUACCAAAAACAACUCACAAAAUAACACAACUUAGAUCAUAAGGAAUAUAAUUGUCAAGGGACCCAAUUGUGGUUUAUGUUUUGAAUAUUAACUACGACAAGGGUCAAUCAUUAUCAAACUAUACAAGAAAAGCAAAAGAUCCUCGCCAUGAAAUUAGCUGUAAAGGUAAAUGUACACAAAAAUACUCAACCUGGCAUCAUUUCACACCAUUGCUAUAAAAAACCAAACUUUACACGUAUAUGUGCACAUUUACUUUUAAUCACAUAUUCACAUCAUAAACCUAAAAAUACUCAAGACUUUAAUAUAGAUCAAUAAGAAGAACACAUAUUAAGCUCAGUAAAAAAACUACUCAAGGGAAACAUGUCACUAGAAUUGAGCUAAGAUGGUGAUGGUUAACUACACGGCCAAAAAGGUUAUAGCCUUUUAAUUUGAAGUUGUUUUGGGUAAAAACUGAAAGAUGAAGAAAUUGGAGAAAUCACGUGGUAUCACGUGGAUCUAAAUAAGACCCGCGAAAAUAAAAAAGAUCUAAGAGAAAAGUCACCGCCAGUGAGUGAGAUCAUCUUCUACGUUUUCUAAAUUCAAUAACGCGAUUCCCAAUAACUAACACUCCUAAUCGAAUUUCGUUUCUGCGUUUCCCAGAAAAUUUAAACUAAAAAUCCUCUAGAUCUGGCUUUCUACAAUCCCAAAAUCGUAAAAAUCUAUAGCGAAGAGAGAGAGAUUUAAAACGUACGGAUCUGAUGAGGUCGAGAUUG